AUGCCUUGAACUUAUGGGUAAGGAAAAGAAUGGUUUAGGGUAAUGCCUGAGUCCUCAUUACCGAUGUGAGUGCAUAAAGGGUGUCUUGCCUGCUGACGGAGGUGCCUGGUGUAGGGAUCUGCCUGACCCU
rnacentral:snRNA from 1 species